rnacentral:rRNA from 1 species
CCUACGGGUGGCAGCAGUGGGGAAUAUUGGGCAAUGGGCGCAAGCCUGACCCAGCAACGCCGCGUGAAGGAAGAAGGCUUUCGGGUUGUAAACUUCUAUUAAGAGGGAAGAGCAGAAGACGGUACCCCUUGAAUAAGCCACGGCUAACUACGUGCCAGCAGCCGCGGUAAUACGUAGGUGGCAAGCGUUGUCCGGAUUUACUGGGUGUAAAGGGCGUGGAGACGGGGAGCCAAGUCAGCUGUGAAAUCCACGAGCUUAACCUGUGAACUGCUUUUGAAACUGGUUACCUAGAGUGUGGGAGGGGUAAGCGGAAUUCCUAGUGUAGCGGUGAAAUGCGUAGAUAUUAGGAGGAACACCAGUGGCGAAGGCGGAUUACUGGACGGUAACUGACGGUGAGGCUCGAAAGCGUGGGGAGCAAACAGGAUUAGAUACCCGAGUAGUC